UACGUAGGUGGCAAGCGUUGUCCGGAUUUAUUGGGCGUAAAGAGCUCGUAGGCGGCUCAGUAAGUCAGGUGUGAAACCUCCAGGCUCAACCUGGAGACGCCACCUGAUACUGCUGUGGCUAGAGUCCGGUAGGGGAGCGUGGAAUUCCUGGUGUAGCGGUGAAAUGCGCAGAUAUCAGGAGGAACACCAGCGGCGAAGGCGGCGCUCUGGGCCGGAACUGACGCUGAGGAGCGAAAGCGUGGGUAGCAAACAGG
rnacentral:rRNA from 1 species